ensembl:lncRNA
ACCCAAAUCUGUUGUUUAUUUGCAAAGGAAAGAGCGACAUUUUCAUACAUAACAUGAGAAACAGCAAAAAAAAAGUCUGCACACUACUUCUACUUCCAGCUACAUUUGUGGUUGAAUGAAGAAUACAGUUCAGAAAAUGUGUUUUGCACCAGAAGGUCAUUCAAACUACACUGUACUCACUAAUAAACAAACAAACCAAGUCUUAAGAACAGUCCAUAACUCAUUGCAUUAGUACUGAACACAUCACGAGCAUUAUCCUCUUACUCUAGAAAAGAAAUCCAGUGCUAAUAGAACAUAGAACAUGUGCAGCGUUGCCCUAUGAAGCUCUCACUAAGAAGCAGCACUGAUGCCAAAUGCACAAGCUAUAGAUUUGAAAAGGCAUUGCAACAUCGUUUUGCAUGCAUCCGACCCCAUCCAUCUGUAGGUUGGCUGCUACAUGGAUCAGGAGUGACAUGUUCUUCUUCUGGUCUCAGCAACAGAAAAAUAGAAGUCCUCUUAUCUACAUUUAGCUUGUCUUAACUCGGGAGACAGUGGCCGUUUCCUGUUACCCCGGUUUCUGACAUCAGUGUUGAGAAGGAAUGUUCUUAACAGUACAUGACUAACAAAAACACAACCUGGCUAUUUGCAGUGCCCCGAUUCAAGAUAACGCACUACAAACAAAAUCAUACGAAUGGUCUGGUCAAUUGAAGUUUCUGUCGCUUAGACUUGACCAUUUGGAGUCUGAGGUCUAACGGUCUGAAGGCGUGCGGAUUUGCAGUACAUCGGUGCUCUAAACUGGCAAAGAACUUACGGAUUAUUGUUGUAGUGAUCAUUCUUAUCACCGUGGGCAACAGCUGACAUCAGUUUUCUUUAUAGGGAUGUGGGCAGGGCUUGACAUGAUCUUUUUUUGCUCACCAGCCGUCAGAAUGCAGUAGUAACUUUAUUUGAUGUUUUGCAUAAUGACAUCUUAAUACUUGACUUUUGUUGUGUUUAUUUUUCCUGUUCUUUACGUUAUGAAAGAAACACGGUAGCAUAGAAUCAGGAGAAAGUCUUCAGUAUAUGCGUAAACUUCUGCUGGCCACUGUGGUAUGUAGCACUGUUCAUGUCAAGCCCUGGCUGUGGGGAUACAUGGCGUUAUACUUUUCAGAUAUCUGUCUUUGUAGACCUCUUAUCAAAUAGAUUUUUUAAAUUUAAUAUAAACUAAUGUCUAUGCAGUGUCCAUGACAUCUUUACAUUUACAGUCGAUUCACAUAAACACUUGUGUUAGCAAAAGUGCUCAAGUCUCUCAUAGUCCCUGUUUAUCUCUUCUUAUUGGUGUGUAAUCUCUG